AGGGGUCAGAUACCAGCAAGAGGAAGGAGUGAAAUGAAGUACAUGAGUUGAUGGCUCCUUUGGAAGACUAGUUCUGCUUUCUUCUGCAAAGGAAAAUUGGGAUCAUUGUCUCUUGGUAAUUCAACAUACUGACUUAGAACGCUGUACCAGAUCCACAUCAGUUGUACCGUCUUGCUUUCUGACAGCUCACUCGGGAGUGAAUUCAGGUUUUCUUUGCUUCAGUGGCCAAUGCUAUAAACUGUGAACUUAGGCAAUUUGAGGGAAAAUGAAGUUUGGCUGUUCUCUUGGCUACGUUCUCAAAAGCUGCAGAUCACCUCAGAAUGGAGAAAUAUGUUCAUUCAGGUAUGUUCUCUCAGUUAUUUCAAAACUAAGAUGGUUUGUUGGCAAUUUUACUGCCACGCAGAAUCCUUACGUACAGAAGCUUCUUCACAAAUUUUCAGUAAACUUGGACAUUAAGAGACCUCUCUUCUCAAGCAAUUGUUUAAUUUACGCCUUUAUUCCUUGUGAAGGAACUCAGCUGAUCCCAGGACUCGGUUUCCCUUUAUUGAUUCCAGUCCUGACUCCUUUUAGCACAGUACUAUAGGCCUUAUGGGCUACUCACUACUGUCUUUCUGGCCUGAAGGUAAUACUGCCCUAAGGAUUGAGAUG